rnacentral:lncRNA from 1 species
AUAAAUCUUAUAAGAAAUAGGAUUGAAGAAGGAUUUUGGUAGCAAAGGAAGUAAUUAGGGCACCAAUAUAGAUGAAUGGAGAUGAAUGAUGGAAAUCUCCAUUCUUAUUGGUCAAAUAUCAUGACCAAUAGGCUUUGAGGAGGCUGCCUGAGGCCAUAUUAGGGAUUAGGGUUAGCUUUAUGGGGCCAUUCGAGUUUUGAAGGAUGAGAUCAGCAAGUUUAGAUUUUUGGCUAUGGUUUUGGUGAAAUUUUUGUAUGGUUUGGAGUUUAUAUGAAGGAGAUACAAGCGUUCAAAGUUAAGAUGUUGAUUUGGAAGCUAAUGUCACUCUUUUUGGCAUAACACAUGCGUAUAGAGGGCAAUUGAAGAUCGGUGACUGCGACUAGAGACAACACUUUUGCGGCUAUACUUUUUGUAUACUUUUUGCUGGAUUCGAAGUUGGGAUAAAGGAGUUAUUGGAUUUUGAAGUUAGCACAUGCAGUCUAAGGGUAGUAAGUAAUCCGAUUUACUAGUGGUUGUGUCUUGAGCUAUAUCUUGAGCAAUUUGAUAAGGUUUUGGCUCAAAAUUUCAAGAAAUGUAAAAUUUCAUGUAAAUAAACUUUGUGCAUAAGUUUUAUGACAUUUAAGUAUUAGGUUCUUGAGAUAUUAAGAAAAUAGUGUUUAGGUGCUUGUAAAUUAGGGUUUAAAGUGUCUGCUAGGAUUUCUUAGGUACCAGAAGAUCGGGAGUGAAUUUGCCAUUAGUUUUUUUUUGUGAUAUAUGUUAAGGGUGAAUUCUACAUAUCCUAUAAAUAUGAGACAAAUUAAACGGUUAGAUCAAGAGUUAUGAAUUUCUAAAGUUUUGGAAAAGAAAACUCUUUGCGGAAAAAAUAUGUUUUGAAGAGAUUUUGUUAUAUUUUGAGUUUUAUGCAAAAUAAAGGAGUUUUGGUAGGCUAACACAAGAUUCAUAUAAAGGUUUAAGCUACACUCUCUAUAGCUAGAUAUCCAGUGUAUUCCC